UUCCUUCACCUCUAUUGCUCGGGCUUGCCGUCCCCUUCUCCAUCUCUGUCGCUCAUCUUCUCGUAGCCACAUGCCAUCCCUCUUCCUCUUCCUCCUUCGCCGCUCGCUUUUCUCAUCUUUUUGCCUCUUUUGCGGCUUGAGCCCACCAUCCCCUUUCUUCUCCUCCUUCGACACUCGACUUCUGUCACUCGCCUCCCCUCAACCAUACCUUGACUCCGCAUGGGAAGGGAUGGUGGCUUAUCACGACGGAGGAAGAAGAGAAGAGGAAGGAGGAAAAAAAUGGAGCACUACUUUCAAAAUAUCCCGCCAGCUGUUUGGUUUUUGGAGUGCACUUAAAAUUUAAGUUAUUUAUCACAACGGCCAUACAUAAAGCUGAUUGCUAAUAAAUAGAUCAGUGCCAUCUUUUUUUAAAAUAGAUGGCUAGAAAAAGUCAAUAGUAAAAUGACUAAAAGAGAUUUUGAAGUAUCAUGGCAAAAUCUCAAAAAAAACAAUUUCUGAUAUAUUCUGAAAGGUUAAAAUAGACAACAGCAAUAUUGGUAUCUAGCAUAGGCCCCAGAUACAUCAAAAUUAUAAAACCCACCUUCAGGAUAAAUCCCUUCCAAUGCAUGAUCCAAACCUUCUCUUGCUGUAAUUGGUUAACGGUUAAUAAUAAAUUUGGUGGUUGUCUUCCACAGUCAAAUACCGCUAAUCAAAUCCUGGUCAAAGUGGACCAAGGACAAAGCUCUAAGCUCCAAGCGUUUCAUCGCA
rnacentral:lncRNA from 1 species